UAUGGUGCGUGUGCACGUGGCCGUGGGCGUGAGUACAGGCAGGCUCAUGCCAUAGCACAUGAGUGGAAGUCAGGAGACCACUUUAGAGGUCAGUCAUUGCCUUCCAGCCUGUCUGACGCACAAGCCUUUGCUUUCUCUCCUGCAUUAGCCCGGCUAGCUGUCUCCCGAGCUUCUGCACAUUCUCCUUUGUCUGCCUCCUCUAAUUCUCCUGUGCCUGCCUCUUCUAAUUCUCCUGUGUCUGCCUCCUCUAAUUCUCCUGUGUCUACCUCCUCUAAUUCUCCUGUGUCUGCCUCCUCUAAUUCUCCUGUGUCUGCCUCCUCUAAAUCCAUGGGAGUGUUGGGACGAUGGCUGAACAGCCCUGCAUCUGGUGUCAUGUGGGUUCUGGCGAUCUCUCCAUUUGUGCUGAGCCUUUGACUCAUUAGCGCCUCCUCUCCUUCCACUGACUCUCUUCAUCGAAAAAAAAUCAAUUCCGUGUGGACCUGUGAUGAUUUAAAACCAUGUCCCUAUUUCUUUCAGUCAUGAAUGUGAACCAGGCAUAAUGACAAUCAAAUGCUUUAGACCGGGAGACGGCAUGACGUCAGACGUGGGUUGGAAAAGGCUGCCCGUUCUUCUGUGCGAAUCACUCACCUGUGGCGUCUUGAAUCACUGAGAAAAGUUUGAUGACCCUAGACUGUCAUCUCAUAAGGAAGCCCAACCUACAACCACAUGUAGGUCACUGGCUGACAGCCCCCAGAAGUCUCAGCUGGCACCAACACCAGCCACUAGAUGACUCUGUCCUCCAGUGAGGGCCUCAGGCAUCGUUCAGCAAUGUCAGAGUAUAAUAUCCUCACUGGGCUGUUGGGAGGAAGACAUAAAAUAACGCACAAAGAAGGCCUUUGACAAGGUUGCAUAAAGGUGGUUAUUAUUUUUGUGGGUCUUUUUUUUUUUUCACCGUCGUGUCCGGCCAUAUACUCAUUCAUAUAAGGGAAAUGUAGAAACACAGAGGAAAAAAGAAAGUCUCCAAUUUUAUUCUAGUCGACAGGGGAGAGGGUCAAGAAGUAGAAAACGUUUCUGAACUAUUCUAAAAGGGAUGGUACAGAAUCCAGUUCAAAGACAAGUGAGAUUGAUGGCUGAAGGUGUCUAUUAGAGGAAGAGACCAUGAAGGACCAAGAAAGGCUUCUUGCCAGAAAUUGGGUAUACACUGGAGGGAGAGAUUUAGGGUGUUGGAGGGGAGAUGGAAAGGAUGUGGGAGUGGGGAAAUAAACUGAGCGAAGGCAUAGACCAGGUAGGAGGGAAAGCCUGGGCCAAGGAAAUCUAUCUGUUGAUGAUGGACCAUCGCACGCAGGCCCAGCCCACGAGCCUAGGUAUCAAUCAAGUUAAGUAAGAAUUCAACGUGAUUUUUGAAUCCCUGUAAGGAGGAAGGUUCCAUGGCCUCUAGGCAGGAAUGAGUGCUUCUCAUAGGACUGCAGUCUUCUCCAAAGCACAGGAGCACUUUCUCCUAGGCUCACAGCACCCUAAUUCCCAGGGAACAUCUAAGAUGGUCUCCUUCUUGCCACACUGUACCUGAGCUUGCCCCUGCUGGCCAAGGCUGAGUGGGGUAGGAUGAGCACAGGGCCAGCCUGGGCUAACUUGACCUGUGGUUAUUCUCCAGGUGGUGCUAGUGUUCCUAGGAGUUCUGUGGCUCUGAGUCGCUGAAGAUGAAAGUUGGUAUCUUGGCCAGACAAGUGGUCUUCCUGUCUUGGUGCAGUCUUCCUCUGGGUCUCCUAGAGUUUCUCCAGGAAAUAGUAACCCCUGUGCAUAGGCUAGGAACUCUGACUUGCUUCUUGAGUGUGUUUCUGUCUGUAUUUUAUGAACAGCACAAGCAGCAGCAGCCACAGGCAAGAGCGUCUCAAGUGUGCUGAAGAAGCCAAGUGUGCCUUAGGACCCCUGCUGUAUUCACACGCUCUGUGACUUUGGGCAGGUCAUUUUCUCUGGGUUUUAAUUUAUAUGUCAAAAAUAGGAAAAUAAAACCAAAUGCAUA
rnacentral:lncRNA from 1 species